CCUACGGGUGGCAGCAGUCGAGAAUCAUUCACAAUGGGGGAAACCCUGAUGGUGCGACGCCGCGUGGGGGAAUGAAGGUUUUGGGUUUUUAAACCCUUUUCAUGUGGGAGAAAAUUAAAAAGUUAGUACCACAAGAGGAAGCGACGGCUAACUCUGUGCCAGCAGCCGCGGUAAUACGGAGGGCUUAAGCGUUGUUCGGAAUCACUGGGCGUAAAGCGUGCGUAGGCUGUUUAGAAAGUUGUAUGUGAAAGGCGCGGGCUUAACCCGAGAACGGCAUAUGAUACUGUGAGACUAGAGUAAUGGAGAGGGAGGCGGAAUUCUCGGUGUAGGAGUGAAAUGCGUAGAGAUCGAGAGGAAUACUCGUGGCGAAGGCGGGUUCCUAGACAAUAACUGACGCUGAGGCGCGAAGGCGUGGGGAGCAAACGGGAUUAGAUACCCGGGUAGUC
rnacentral:rRNA from 1 species